GCGCAGGUGGUGAAAUUGGUAUACACGCUACCUUGAGGUGGUAGUGCCGGAAACGGUGUGUGAGUUCGAGUCUCAUCCUGCGCA
rnacentral:tRNA from 1 species